rnacentral:rRNA from 1 species
AUUGAACGCUGGCGGCAGGCCUAACACAUGCAAGUCGAGCGGAUGAAGGGAGCUUGCUCCUGGAUUCAGCGGCGGACGGGUGAGUAAUGCCUAGGAAUCUGCCUGGUAGUGGGGGAUAACGUCCGGAAACGGGCGCUAAUACCGCAUACGUCCUGAGGGAGAAAGUGGGGGAUCUUCGGACCUCACGCUAUCAGAUGAGCCUAGGUCGGAUUAGCUAGUUGGUGGGGUAAAGGCCUACCAAGGCGACGAUCCGUAACUGGUCUGAGAGGAUGAUCAGUCACACUGGAACGGAGACAGGUCACAGACCCCUGGGGGGAGCAGAAGGGGGAAAAAUGGGAAAAGGGGCGAAAGCCUUAACCAGCCAGCCCGGGGGUUUAAAGAAGGUCUUCGGAUUGUAAAGCAUUUUAAUGGGGGAGGAAGGGCAGUAAGUUAAAACCUUGCUGUUUUAACGUUACCAAAAAAAAAGGCACCGCCAAAUUCCGU